CCUUUCAACUUUUACUGCACAACACUUAACUCAUGCAAGUAAUGGUCUCAUGUCUCCCUCUUGUGUUCAUUCAUUCACACUGCAGUGUGCCCAUACAUUAGGGAGUCUUUAAAGUUGUUGGAAGCCUUGACAUUUUUAUUUAAUGCACUCCAGUUGUGCAUCUUGCCAAAAAGUUAAAGUGAGCUCAAAGGAACAAUCCAUUCUCCUAGAUAUGAGGUAAUGAAGAUAUGAUAGUGUUGUGAUGAGUGGGAUGCUGACCCUGUCUCUUCGGCUCCAGGCGUGUCUCUGCUCUGCCAGCUGUAAUGGGUCUUAAAAUGAAUUCGAAGGAGUUAAUGGUCUCUGAACAACACGAGCUGGGAUCAGAUGGCCCUGUAGUUAAAAGGAGGUGGAUUGACUGGUGAACUAGAGGGGACUGUCCAGUCCUCGGAACAACCUGCACUGUCGCGCGCUCGAUCCAUCUCAAGCAGUGACAAAGCCCACCCACAGGGGUCCUCUAACCUACUGCUCUCCAACCUGGGGGUGGGCGGGGGGUCCCGGGUUGCCACAGCUGAUUUUAAGGGGUGUAAGACAACCUUUUAAAAAAAAAUAUAUAUAUAUAUAUAUAUAUAUAUAUAUAGGUGGCUUUUAUCUCAGCAUUUAAUUCCUGUAAAGAAAACUAAAUGAAGUCUUUAUUAUUUUUUAUUAUUAUUUUAGGUAUAAACAGGACCAGAAUUGAUAUUCACUGAGCCUUCCCUCUCUGCUAAACAGGCUCGCUGUGCAUUAGAGAAGUACGCAGUUAAAACAAAGAGCUAAUAAAACCAUGGCCAAGUGUCAGGGAGAAGAAAAUGCAGAAUUUAUCUUAAAAAAAAAAAAAAAAAAAAGAACCCUGUUAAGUUUAUGAUUGUUAAAACAAAUAUACAUAAUGCAGACAGAAUUGUAUCGCAAGUUCCUU